AGGAAGAGAAUAGGCCUCUUUCACUAUUUUAAUGUCAUGAGAGAGAGAGAGAGAAUAAGAGUAGUCCAACAUAAGCACUAGAACCGUGGGCACGUAGGUUUAAACAUGUUUCCUCAUCUCCCAGAUCAAUAAUUGCAUACACUUUCUCCUUCUCUCUCCCCCCAUCACUUCCUUCUUCUGACAAUACAUGCACUUCCAUGCUCUUCUAUAUAAAAUGUUUCAAGUGACCAAUCUUCCUUAUUUUCAAUUUUCAGAUUGAUUACAUAAUGAGUUCUUCAAUCUUCCUUCUAUGCUGCCUUCUCGUAUUCUCUUUAUAUUCCCUCUCCCAACACACAGGCUACUCUCUAGAUGCUACCACAACACGCAAGUUGAGCAUGCCAGCCUCACUCCACGAUCACAAAACACAGUAUAAAAUGCAGGGAGUUGAUAAGGCAACGGAAAGUACCUCAGUAAACGAAGAUUCCACGAUACCAGAUUAUAUCGGCAACAGUUAUGGUCCCCAUGAUCUUGUCUAUCAUAUAGAUUACCACGGAGUAACAACUCAUCCAACUCCUAAACAUCCCAAACCAUAGUCUUGCAACUUUAGUUUUGCAUCACAAGAGAUUUUAUUCAUAUAUGUAUUCUGGUUCUUAUCAUCAAUAUAUAAAUAAAAUGCGUUGUGUGCGAGAGAAAAAAAAAGUUUUGUUUACAUACAUA